rnacentral:rRNA from 1 species
AUUGAACGCUGGCGGCAGGCCUAACACAUGCAAGUCGAGCGGCAGCGGGAAAGUAGCUUGCUACUUUUGCCGGCGAGCGGCGGACGGGUGAGUAAUGCCUGGGGAUCUGCCCAGUCGAGGGGGAUAACUACUGGAAACGGUAGCUAAUACCGCAUACGCCCUACGGGGGAAAGCAGGGGACCUUCGGGCCUUGCGCGAUUGGAUGAACCCAGGUGGGAUUAGCUAGUUGGUGAGGUAAUGGCUCACCAAGGCGACGAUCCCUAGCUGGUCUGAGAGGAUGAUCAGCCACACUGGAACUGAGACACGGUCCAGACUCCUACGGUAGGCAGCAGUGGGGAAUAUUGCACAAUGGGGGAAACCCUGAUGCAGCCAUGCCGCGUGUGUGAAGAAGGCCUUCGGGUUGUAAAGCACUUUCAGCGAGGAGGAAAGGUUGGUAGCUAAUAACUGCCAGCUGCUACGUUACUCGCAGAAGAAGCACCGGCUAACUCCGUGCCAGCCGCCGCGGUAAAAC